GGGUGCCUUCCUACUAGCACUAAUGCAUCGGAUCCCAUCAAAACUACAAAGUUAAGCGUGCUUGGGCGAGAGUAGCACUGGGUUGGGUGACAUCUUGGGAAGUCCUCGUGUUGCACUCC
rfam:Nelumbo nucifera unplaced genomic scaffold scaffold00227, whole genome shotgun sequence